UACGGGGGGAGCAAGCGUUGUUCGGAUUUACUGGGCGUAAAGGGCGCGUAGGCGGCGCAACAAGUCACUUGUGAAAUCUCCGGGCUUAACUCGGAACGGUCAAGUGAUACUGUUGUGCUAGAGUGCGGAAGGGGCAACUGGAAUUCUCGGUGUAGCGGUGAAAUGCGUAGAUAUCGAGAGGAACACCUGCGGCGAAGGCGAGUCCCUGGACAACUCCUGACACUGAGGCACGAAAGCUAGGGGGAGCAAACAGG
rnacentral:rRNA from 1 species